rnacentral:rRNA from 1 species
UACGGAGGGUGCAAGCGUUAUCCGGAUUUACUGGGUUUAAAGGGUGUGUAGGCGGGUAUUUAAGUCAGUGGUGAAAUCUCCGAGCUCAACUUGGAAACUGCCAUUGAUACUAUUUAUCUUGAAUUUUGUUGAGGUAGGCGGAAUAAGUCAUGUAGCGGUGAAAUGCAUAGAUAUGACUUAGAACACCAAUUGCGAAGGCAGCUUGCUAAACAAAUAAUUGACGCUGAGGCACGAAAGCGUGGGGAUCAAACAGG